UACGGGGGGGGCAAGCGUUGUUCGGAAUUACUGGGCGUAAAGGGCUCGUAGGCGGCCAACUAAGUCCGACGUGAAAUCCCCAGGCUUAACCUGGGAACUGCGUCGGAUACUGGUUGGCUUGAAUCCGGGAGAGGGAUGCGGAAUUCCAGGUGUAGCGGUGAAAUGCGUAGAUAUCUGGAGGAACACCAAUGGCGAAGGCGGCUGCCUGGACCAGUCCUGACGCUGGAGGCGCGAAAGCUAGGGGAGCAAACAGG
rnacentral:rRNA from 1 species